AAUAAUUCGAUUUCUGCAGCUCUGGGGACAGGACCUUUUACUCCUGACCAAUCAGUUCCCUUUGCCAAAACCACAGCCGCCUAACCAUUGGCUGGAUUGUUCCAACAAUCAAAUCUCAGGAAAUAGCUACCCACUUGAACAAGAGAGGAUGAAGUAAAUAAAACCAAAAUGAUCUAUUUGAAGGUGGAGCGGGAGUAAGACCACUAGAAAGCAGCAUGCUGCCAGACCACCACAGGACCCUAGAGAUAUUAGUCAAUGCAUAUGAACCAGAUAUUGAAUUUAUAUCAAUGACGCUAACCAAAUGGUUGGUUUGUUCAGAAACAUGUGCACUAAAUGCUAACACGGCUUUGGUGAUGCAAGGUAAAUCAUGUAUUUAUUGUCAUCUCCCUGUCAGGCCUCACUCAGCCUGCUGUGACAUGGGCCCGGAUGGUGACAUAUGCUUCAAGCUGCCUGACUGAAUACAGGGGCCUUCAGCGGUACCUUCCCUUUUGAUUACAGCAGUCUCUUUAUUAAGUCUCAUAGCCAUUUAACAUGUACUUUAUGUAACCACUCAAAUUCUUAAAAACGUAUACAAAUACAUGAACAGACUUAUAUUCACUUGCCUCUGGCUGCGUUUACAGGCAGCCCAAUUCUGAUAUUUUUCCCACUAAUUGGUCUUUUGACCAAUCCCAGAUCUUUUCACAUUGGUUCAUUUUUCAGAGCUGAUUGAUCAAAAGACCAAUUGGUGGGAGAAAAAAAGUGUCAGACUUGGGCUGCCUGUCUAAACACAGCCUAUUUGUCCUAUUCUUCUAACUUGUCUGGGAUAUAUAUAUAUAUUUUAGUUGGCACAACUGUGUGAUAUCUUUUAUAUAUGAAUAAUACUUUUUUCACCCUG